rnacentral:rRNA from 1 species
GUCCACACCGUAACGAUGAUUACUAGGUGUUGGAGGAUUGACCCUUCAGUGCCGCAGUUAACACAAUAAGUAAUCCACCUGGGAGUACGACCGCAAGGUUGAACUCAAGGAAUUGACGGGCCCGCACAAGCAGUGGAGUAUGUGGUUUAAUUCGACGCAACGCGAAGAACCUUACCAAGUCUUGACAUCCCUUGACGAUGCUGGAAACAGUAUUUCUCUUCGGAGCAAGGAGACAGGUGGUGCAUGGUUGUCGU